GGUCGCGCUGAUCGACGGCAAGUU
rnacentral:SRP_RNA from 1 species